rnacentral:rRNA from 1 species
ACUCAAAUGAAUUGACGGGGGCCCGCACAAGCGGCGGAGCAUGUGGCUUAAUUCGAGGCGACGCGAAGAACCUUACCUGGGCUUGACAUGCAAGGAAAAGCCGUAGAGAUACGGUGUCCGAAAGGGCUUUGCACAGGUGGUGCAUGGCUGUCGUCAGCUCGUGUCGUGAGAUGUUGGGUUAAGUCCCGCAACGAGCGCAACCCUUGUCCUAUGUUGCCAGCGGAUAAUGCCGGGGACUCGUAGGAGACUGCCGGGGUCAACUCGGAGGAAGGUGGGGAUGAUGUCAAGUCAUCAUGCCCCUUAUGUCCAGGGCUGCACACAUGCUACAAUGGCCGGUACAAAGGGCUGCUAUCCCGCGAGGGGGAGCGAAUCCCACAAAGCCGGUCUCAGUUCGGAUCGUAGUCUGCAACUCGACUGCGUGAAGCCGGAGUCGCUAGUAAUCCCGGAUCAGCAACGCCGGGGUGAAUACGUUCCCGGGCCUUGUACACACCGCCCGU